UACGUAGGGGGCGAGCGUUGUCCGGAGUUACUGGGCGUAAAGAGCUCGUAGGCGGUUUGUCGCGUCUGCUGUGAAAACGCGAGGCUCAACCUCGCGCCUGCAGUGGGUACGGGCAGACUGGAGUGCGGUAGGGGAGAUUGGAAUUCCUGGUGUAGCGGUGGAAUGCGCAGAUAUCAGGAGGAACACCGAUGGCGAAGGCAGAUCUCUGGGCCGUAACUGACGCUGAGGAGCGAAAGCGUGGGGAGCGAACAGG
rnacentral:rRNA from 1 species